UUAUCGGAUGGAAUUGCUGUGUUCCUAUUGAUUUAUUCCUAACACCACCUGGAGUGAAAUAGUUAAGUUGCUCCUGUUGCGGGUUCUGAAAACCUCAGUAACAGAUCAUCUGUUUUAUGCAAAUAUU